GACGAACGCUGGCGGCGCGCCUAACACAUGCAAGUCGAACGAGCGAGAGAGAGCUUGCUUUCUUGAGCGAGUGGCGAACGGGUGAGUAACGCGUGAGGAACCUGCCUCAAAGAGGGGGACAACAGUUGGAAACGACUGCUAAUACCGCAUAAGCCCACGACCCGGCAUCGGGUUGAGGGAAAAGGAGCAAUCCGCUUUGAGAUGGCCUCGCGUCCGAUUAGCUAGUUGGUGAGGUAACGGCCCACCAAGGCGACGAUCGGUAGCCGGACUGAGAGGUUGAACGGCCACAUUGGGACUGAGACACGGCCCAGACUCCUACGGGAGGCAGCAGUGGGGAAUAUUGCACAAUGGGGGAAACCCUGAUGCAGCGACGCCGCGUGGAGGAAGAAGGUCUUCGGAUUGUAAACUCCUGUUGUGGAGGAAGAUAAUGACGGUACUCAACAAGGAAGUGACGGCUAACUACGUG
rnacentral:rRNA from 1 species